rnacentral:rRNA from 1 species
GAUCCUGGCUCAGAACGAACGCUGGCGGCAUGCCUAACACAUGCAAGUCGAACGAAGCCUUCGGGCUUAGUGGCGCACGGGUGCGUAACGCGUGGGAAUCUGCCCUGGGUUCGGAAUAACAGUUAGAAAUGACUGCUAAUACCGGAUGAAGUCUUCGGACCAAAGAUUUAUCGCCCAGGGAUGAGCCCGCGUAGGAUUAGGUAGUUGGUGGGUAAAGGCCUACCAAGCCGACGAUCCUUAGCUGGUCUGAGAGGAUGAUCAGCCACACUGGGACUGAGACACGGCCCAGACUCCUACGGGAGGCAGCAGUGGGGAAUAUUGGACAAUGGGCGAAAGCCUGAUCCAGCAAAUGCCGCGUGAGUGAUGAAGGCCUUAGGGUUGUAAAGCUCUUUUACCAGGGAUGAUAAUGACAGUACCUGGAGAAUAAGCUCCGGCUAACUCCGUGCCAGCAGCUGC